rnacentral:rRNA from 1 species
UCCUUCGGAGCACCGGCGGACUGCUCAGUAACACGUGGACAACCUACCCUCGGGUGGGGGAUAACCUCGGGAAACUGAGGCUAAUACCCCAUAGGCCUCGGAUACUGGAAGGUUCCGAGACCGAAAGCUCCGGCGCCCGAGGAUGGGUCUGCGGCCUAUCAGGUAGUUGGUGGUGUAAAGGACCACCAAGCCUACGACGGGUACGGGCCCUGAGAGGGGGAGCCCGGAGAUGGACUCUGAGACACGAGUCCAGGCCCUACGGGGCGCAGCAGGCGCGAAACCUUCGCAAUGCGCGAAAGCGCGACGAGGGGAGCCCGAGUGCCCUUCCUUUCGGGAGGGCUUUUCUGGAGCCUAAAAAGCUCCAGGAAUAAGGGCUGGGCAAGACGGGUGCCAGCCGCCGCGGUAAUACCCGCAGCUCGAGUGGUGGCCACUAUUAUUGAGCCUAAAGCGUCCGUAGCCGGACCCGUAAAUCCCUGGGUAAAUCCUGGCGCUCAACGUCAGGAAUUCCGGGGAGACUGCGGGUCUUGGGACCGGGAGAGGCCGGAGGUACUCCCGGGGUAGGGGUAAAAUCCUGUAAUCCCGGGGGGACCACCUGUGGCGAAAGCGUCCGGCUUGAACGGCUCCGACGGUGAGGGACGAAGGCCAGGGGAGCAAACCGGAUUAGAUACCCGGGUAGUCCUGGCUGUAAACGCUGCCCGCUUGGUGUUGUCGGUCUCU